rnacentral:rRNA from 1 species
GACGAACGCUGGCGGCAGGCCUAACACAUGCAAGUCGAACGCCCUAGCAAUAGGGAGUGGCAGACGGGUGAGUAACACGUGGGAAUAUCCCCCUCAGUACGGAAUAGCCCAGGGAAACUUGGAGUAAUACCGUAUACGUCCGUGAGGAGAAAGAUUUAUCGCUGAGGGAUUAGCCCGCGUCGGAUUAGCUAGUUGGUGAGGUAACGGCUCACCAAGGCGACGAUCCGUAGCUGGUCUGAGAGGACGACCAGCCACAUUGGGACUGAGACACGGCCCAAACUCCUACGGGAGGCAGCAGUGGGGAAUAUUGGACAAUGGGCGCAAGCCUGAUCCAGCCAUGCCGCGUGAGUGACGAAGGCCUUAGGGUUGUAAAGCUCUUUUGGCGGGGACGAUAAUGACGGUACCCGCAGAAUAAGCCCCGGCUAACCUCGUGCCAGCCGCCGCAGUAACAC